rnacentral:piRNA from 1 species
GACUAGGACAUGAGGGGAAGAACUGAGU